ensembl:lncRNA
GUCUGCACGCCUGUCAAAAUGAACACGACUAGAGGGACACCUUUUGGUUUUCUCAUUUCAGAAAACAGCAUUAUUGUUCUCCUGGAAAGUUGAGACGUGUUGGUCUGCAGUUGGUUGGCUGCAAACUAUCAGUGUCUGGGAACCAUUUUGUUCUCUGUGCUGGAUGUGAAGGUCCAAACUUCAGUCAGCAAGAAAGAGCCGAUGGGUAAAGUGGUGACAGGGAGACGGUGUUACGUCGCCGUGAAACCCGUCGACCCCCUUGACCUCAUCACCACGAAGGAGUGGACAUUUGGUCUUCUCACCACGAGGCAGCGCAUGGCUACCUGCAGCGCUCAAUCACCAAUGUCAUUUAUUACAUAUACUUUUAGCUUAUUUAAUGUGAUAAAAAUGAUAAGAAAUGCAGACACGCCCUGGUCACUUGUUCCUGGUUCUCGUGUGCUUAUCAUAAUGUGUAGUGUGUCAAACAACCAGAAGGUGACAGCACUGACACGCUGUACUGAAUAUUUCAAUGCUGGU